UUGCUUCAAUUAAAGCUCAAUAAAUUAAUGACUUCAAACGUUUGAAAUUGAUUAUAACAAACAUAUUUUUUCAAAUAAAAUGCAGUUAAAGCUGCAUUCACAUACUAAACAUAAAAAAGACGACACAAUAAUGUAGAACCAGUAGAUUUAUUAUUAAUGAUAUCCCGACAAGAUACGCAAGCAAGACACAUUUCACGAACACAAACCGCUGAGGCACAAUGGAUUGCGGAACAUCACUCUUCGGCGUGCACUUUACUUUCUUCUACACCCUCACCGAGUUCUUGACGAUUUUGCUGUACCUGGAUAAGUCGUCUGGUUUAUGCGCUGCCUUCUCUUUUAACUUCCCGAUUAUGUAUUUAAAACUGAUUAUCUUCUUGUGGGGUGUAACGUUCAGAUUCCGAAUCGCUUACGACGUGGAGGUGGAAAUCGUCCUGCCGACUUUCACCUGCACGAUAUCGUCGGCCAGCAAAAUGGGAUUGCUCAUGUCGUCGGUGCGAGCGAGUUUAAACCUUUCCUCCGUAACACCCAACAUCAAAAUAAUGAUACCUAUGGUGAAAAAAUUUAACAAUUCCACAUUUGUAAUUGCUCCAUUCUUCAUAAUGCCGCUGUAUACGUGUACAGACACCGCGUAUCCGAAAAUAAUGAACUAGAAGAAGCAAAGACGAUGAAACACGGUGAAAAACUGUGAGGAAAAAGGUUUAAACUAGAAGCACGACACACGCUGAAAUUUUACGUAAAGUUGGAUGGUUGUCGGUUGUCCGUUUUGUUUUCGUAUCUAAGAGCCGUUGUCGAAAAAAUACAAAUUUCCCGACAAAAUAAACUGUAAACGUAUUGAUUACAUCAAACGAGAGAAAGAGACCCAUCCUUAUCCAGUGCCAUGAUGUUGAUUAAAAUGUACUUCGGUUAAA